CAAUAAAUCCCCAAACUUCCGGGGCAAAGUUUAAGCUAAAAAGGGCACUGAUUUCAGAAACGUGUUGUCCCAUAUGUACUGACACUAUCAAGAAGAUGAGAACACACUUUGCUUGAUAUAAACCAUGAACAUGUUUGUGUUGAAAAUCUCUCUAAGCUAUCUAGCUGGCUAAAUGACUGGCUAGCCUUUUGCGACGUUGAAACGACUUUAUCAGCCAUAGUAAAUCUAUUUACGAUUGUUGUCAGUGGUAACUUAGCAACUGGAGCAGGUGUUUGGUCAAAUAUGUUCUCAUUGUUCUAUCUGUAUGCUUAGCUAAAAUACCAAGUAAGCUCGCCAAAUACGUUGUGUCAGGUAUAUGAAAAAAGGUAAGAUUCACACGGAUAUUGAUUUAAGUGAAAAUGUAUGCAUGUAUACGUAAUUUCUAUACAUGUAGAAUGCAAUGUUUAGGAAGUCUGGAAGCAAGUAGCUAGCAGCAGCUAACAAGCUAAACAUGUUGUUAUGUGCAAUAGUCAGCUAACCUAGUAAACUAGCUAGUUACAACUAAAAUGUACAUUGCAAGGAUAAUAGCCACAGCUCUAUGUUGUCCCUUUACAGCAUUACCCAAGCUUACAAUGUGUCUGUCCAUCUAUUUGUUCCCCAGUUCCUGUUACCUAGCUGUAACUACACAAUUGUCAAGAUGCCUCAUCUUGACUGGAGUAGGGUAAUUGAUUCUGACCUAGAACAAAUGCACGAGAGUGGAGAUGCAGAUAUAAUUAACCAAAUGUGUCUACAUGUAACGUUACAGUACUGUUCCAAAAUGCACAUACCUGCACCCCAAAUCCUCUUCUAAUCUGAUACUGUAUCAAUCAAAUAGUCCAAUCUAGUUUUUCGUUUUGAUAUGGAUGUAUGACCAUUGAAAUGAGUGGUUCUGCUACUGAUUUGUCCGUAAACAAACAACCCUGCCUUCUGCCAAAGCAUAUACUGCAUGUGUCUGCAUAAUGCCUAAACAGACUAAUCUUCUUCUGCGCACCUCAUUUUCAUCCCCCUACCAUUUCCCCUGGCCAGGAUCAAGCACCUGGCUUGUAGACUAAACAAACGUGUAAGCAAUUUUGUUCUCUGCUACUACCAGUGAGACAGGAACAUAUAUAAAAGACCAAGCAGUACUUGUUACUGGAUCUCUAGACACUGCUGGUCACAGGGUUUUACUUCAUUCUGCACCAAGCAUUACUGAUGACGUGUUUCUGCCUGAUGUUAAAUUCACUGUGUGUUUCACUGGACUGCUGGGGUGCCCUGUUUCUCUGCAGGUCAAACAAUGGGAGCAGGAGCUGAAAGAUGGAAGCCCAGAGAAAAUAGUUCAGCUCUUGCGAGUCGCUCGGGGCCUUCUAAAGAAAAUAAGUGGAAGGCAAAGGAAUUAAAGUGGGAACAAGAGUUUGAGAUCAUAUAUGAGCUAUGUGUUGCUGUGCAAGAGCGGGACAAUCAAAUCAAGAUGCUGACAGAGCAAGUAUACGGGGGAGAUGGAGAGAAAUGCCCUGCUCAUAGAGGAACUCAAGAAUCCCCUGAAGAAAGACAGAGUCAUCCAGCAGAGGAAGCUGGACAAGCUAAAUGCUAAGCUGCAAGCCACAGAGACAAGAGCACGGGAGGCAGAACGUGUGGCCGAGCUAGCCAAGACAGACGCCAGGGACACCCUAAACCACAUGAUAAUCUACGAGUCUGGCACUGAUGGUCUGCAGGUGGCCAUCGCUGAGAUCAAAGAAUGUAAGAAUCAGAUGAGAGUGUGAGACCGCGAGACGGAGGCCAUGACCACAGAUAUCAACCAGCUGGAAAUGAGAAUCAAUGCAGAUGUUAAGGAAAGUCUCGGUCUGGAGCCCCAAGAGGAAGUGGAUCUGACGGAAUUCAGAAGAACCGAAUCCCUGAAACAGCGGCAGUUCAAAGCAGAGAACCAGGAUCUCACCAAAGAGAUCGAACAACUGGAAGGGGAGACACUUGAACUGAAGAAACAAAUCAGAGGAAUGGUAAAGGACAAAGGUAAAUACCAGAGGUGGGACCAAGUCACCUAUCAUUCGAGUCACAAGGUCCGAGUUUCAAGUCAAGUCCCAUGUAGAACUUGUCAAGUCCAAGUUGUGCAUUCUAAGAGCAAGUAGAGUCGAGUCGCAAGUCAAGUAAAAAAAAACAUGUAUACAUGCAAUGACUUGUUCAACUACAAAUCAAUCAAUCAAAUGUAUUUAUAGAGCCCUUUUUACAUCAGCCAAUGUCACAAAGUGCUAAAUCUUUGUCUAUUUAUUGAGUCUACCAGACAGCCCUUUUCAUGAGUUUGUCUACAACACAUUUUGAUUAGCCUAUGUAAUUGUAAAAUAGGGACCUUGUAGCAGUCGUAAGGGCAUGAAAUCAGCAGAAGGCAAAGCAGGUUGACGUGCCAAAGAGUGUAGAUUUAUUUACAGGUUUAGUUGAUCCAAUGGUGAAAGUGCCAUAUCAUACAAAAUAUACAAGUAGAUUUACCAAAGAUAAAUGGUCAAUAGCCCAAAAGGAAUAGCCUCUGUAUCAGGCUUAACCUGUCCUAUCUGAACGGACACAGGCGAGAGGGUAAAACUCUAAAGUGUCCCCUUGAGACACCAAAUUGAAUCUGUUUAACAGCUCAAACGGGUAGACCUACAUAAUAUAAGCACUUGGCCCCCAGAACCAUAUAAUUACCCAAUUGGCAAAUACAAUCAAUAAACUGGUUCUACAAUGUAAAAGGCAAUUUCCACAUCCUUUGUUACAUUGGUACAUUCGUCUUAAUCAGUCUUAAUGAUAUUUCAACACAAUGUGUAACAGUAUAACUUUAGACCGUCCCCUCGCCCAUACCCGGGCGCGAACCAGUGACCCUCUGCACACAUCAACAACAGUCACCCACGAAGCAUCGUUACCCAUCGCUCCACAAAAGCCGCUGCCCUUGCAGAGCAAGGGGAACCACUACUUCAAGGUCUCAGAGCAAGUGACAUCACAGAUUGAACCGCUAUUUAGCGCGCACCACCGCUGCCUAGCUAACUGUUUCACAUCCGUUACACAUGCAUACAUGGGAACAGAAUGAAAAUGACAGGACACAGAACUCCGACAUAACCCGGGAAAUAUGAACAAAGGAAACCAUACAUUUAAUUAAAUAAACAGAACUUCUACCUCAUGAGUCUUGUGAACAUUCAUGUGCACAAUAAACAUCGCGCCCACUCAGAGGGUAAGAAAUGGUUGGCUAAAUGAACAUGUAUCGUAGGGCUAUGAAACAAAUGUUUACAUGUUGCAAUAAACGGUACGGAGAUGGAAUGAUGAAACGCUAGCAAUUAUUGUGGUAUUAGAUGGAAUAUAGAUUUAACACAUAGGACAUAUGCAUUUAAACGUGUGAACGCAAGCGCAAACAUUUCAGCAAGAUAAAAAAAAAAGCACUCUCCACUGGACUGAGGUAAAGACAGUUUCAGGUUGGAUAUUCGCCUGUAGUUUUCCUUACGUCCACCAACAACAGUUGGGGAUUGUCAACAUAGUGACAAAUCCAAAUGUUCAAAUUUCAAUAGCUCUUUAACCAUUACUUCUAAUACUUUCAAAACUGUUUGUAGCUAACCCGAUGGCAUAGACAUUGCUCACCCUUUUAGUUUGUCCAUUUUUGUCUCACAUGCUUUUUUUUUACAUUAAUUUUUCAAAAUGUAGAAUUUCAAUAGCUCCUUGGUCGUGUGACCUGGUAACAUCAAACAAGUUUCAGGAUGUCCACUCAGUGGCCCUACACAUUGCACACCUUUUAGUUUGACCAUUUUCAUCUCAUAUGGUUUUACAUACAUUUUUCAAAAUGUAAAAUUUCAAUAGCACCUUGGUCAUGUGACCUAAUGUCCGCUGACUACCCUUCUAUAUUGCACACUCUUGUUUGUGUACUGUAAAAUCACGCGGUGUAACGUACAUUUUUUCAUAGUUUCACAUUUGCAAUAGCUCCUUGGUCAUGUCAAUUACACACCUAAGAAGCAUGCAGUGGAUAUACACCCAUAUUGCAUAACCUCUAGUCAUGUAUCUUCUAUAUUGUUGUAUAUUAUUAUUAUUAGUUUGACAAUUAGGGAGUUCAGUCCAGUGUUGUUUACCCUUUUCUUUAAUAUUUAUCUACAAUAAUUGGUAGUUCUAAGUACUUAUUUUCCCUGUUUUUUUUUCCCCCCACAGUAUUUAACAGCGGUACACAAUAGGAGAGAGACAGAUAAUAUCUCCUUUCUUCGUAAAUGUCAACCAUAAAGGAAAAGGGCAAAGUACGAGAGUCAUGCUAUUAAUUGUCCAAAGCAGGAAUGGAGAGUAAGCUAGUGAGGUAGGCUGCAGUGGGUUUGCUGGCCAUGACAUAUACUGAACAUGUAACCACAGUAAUGGUGGCCAGUAAAUCAAUUAAUAAAAAUGUAAUAUUGACAAAUGAAACAAAUUGUAGACCUAUAAUAUUUUCCAAGAUGUCAACAGACACGUAACUUCAAUUAAGUAUGAAACAUUUCACAGUGUUAACUUUCUCUUUGUCCUGGUUGAUGUACAUUUCAGAGCCUCUUCAGUGUGGAUGGGGUAUAGCAUACAUUUUCAACAACAGACUGUACUUCCAGUUUGUGUUGUUUACUCUGUUGAACUCUUUUGUCUUCAUUCCUAGGCACAGCACAUGGAACCACCGUUGGCAUGUAAAACAUUCAAUCAAAACAAAACAAUGCGUAACACGUUAUAAAUAAUAUCAAAUAUCAAUGCAGAAUGACGAAUUAGCCAUCCAUUGUGUUAAAGUGUAUAAUAAAGUGUCUUACAUGCCGUCACUGUUGUCAAAAGAUUAUAAACAUGUUAAAUAAAGUUACUAACCCAGUCAGUCUUUGGGCCACAUCCAGGUUCUUUAUCAGUGGCACACAUGAAGCAGUUGUUGGCUUUGUUGAACUCUGAAAUCAUAGGCAUGAACUGAACAUAUGGCUGUCCCACGCAACUACAUAAAAAGAAACAAUUUACAUUUACUUUGAAUUAAAUGUCAUUACAAACCAGACAUUUUUAGUAUAUCCUCAGCCAUUUCUUUUCGCAGUUGCUCCAUUUAUUUUUGAAGGUUCCAUAUCGAUUUGGGAGGGGAUGUUGGGGAAGUUCUGUGUAACUUCCUUGGCCAUCUACACCAAAAAAUAAAAUAGAGUUUUUGACCUAAUUGUCACAUAA